AGAAGAGGAGCUUGCAGACAGCCCUUACGAAGAUAUACACUGUCAAAACUCAGAUGUUUUGCCCUGUACUCUCUAUGUUCUUGCUCAGGGCGAGUCACAGGAAGAAACCUUCAGCUGAAAGCCACAGAGAAGAGAAGCCAGAUCUUAUGUUACCUUUAAUGGUUCUCUCUUGUUUUCUGCCCAGAAUCAUGGCUAUAAAGUCCCCCUCCAAAACACACACACACACACACACACACACACACACACUUUUUUGGUUACUAACCGGAUAUGGCCUUUUAA